rnacentral:snoRNA from 10 species
GCUGCUGUGAUAAGAAGGCCAACCGAUCAAUUGGUUCUUUGAUGAAAUACUCUUGUUACACUUGGCUUCUGAGCGUC